CGACAUAAACACAGCAAGUCGAGCGGAAACGGCAGUAUUGAAGCUUCGGUGGAUUUACUGGACGUCGAGCGGCGGACGGGUGAGUAACGGCUGGGAACCUGCCCUGACGAGGGGGAUAACCGUUGGAAACGACGGCUAAUACCGCAUAAUGUCUACGGACCAAAGGUGGCCUCUACAUGUAAGCUAUCGCGUUGGGAUGGGCCCAGUUAGGAUUAGCUAGUUGGUAAGGUAAUGGCUUACCAAGGCGACGAUCCUUAGCUGGUUUGAGAGGAUGAUCAGCCACACUGGGACUGAGACACGGCCCAGACUCCUACGGGAGGCAGCAGUGGGGAAUAUUGCACAAUGGGGGAGACCCUGAUGCAGCCAUGCCGCGUGUGUGAAGAAGGCCUUCGGGUUGUAAAGCACUUUCAGCAGUGAGGAAGGUGGUGUACUUAAUAAGUGCAUGGCUUGACGUUAGCUGCAGAAGAAGCACCGGCUAACUCCGUGCCAGCAGCCGCGGUAAUACGGAGGGUGCGAGCGUUAAUCGGAAUUACUGGGCGUAAAGCGCAUGCAGGCGGUUUGUUAAGUCAGAUGUGAAAGCCCGGGGCUCAACCUCGGAACCGCAUUUGAAACUGGCAGGCUAGAGUCUUGUAGAGGGGGGUAGAAUUUCAGGUGUAGCGGUGAAAUGCGUAGAGAUCUGAAGGAAUACCAGUGGCGAAGGCGGCCCCCUGGACAAAGACUGACGCUCAGAUGCGAAAGCGUGGGUAGCAAACAGGAUUAGAUACCCUGGUAGUCCACGCCGUAAACGCUGUCUACUUGGA
rnacentral:rRNA from 1 species